ensembl:lncRNA
AGCAAAGCAAGUGCAUCUGCGUGUCUUAGGAAGAGUUCUCCAGAACCCUCACAUCCUUAAGCCGUAAUUCAGUUCCAUGUCCACACCUAUCCGCAAAGGAGACUGGGAAAUUCUCUGCUAAAAACUGGAUUACUUUUACUUUAGACGAAGGAAACUUUAGAAUGGAUGUUGGGGAAUACACAGCUGUCUUUGUUACAGCUCUCCAGGCCUCAAUUUCCUCUUCUGUAUUUGUCUCCCCCUCUAGCAUGUGAGCUUCAAUGAAGGCAGAGACCUUGUCUCCUAUCUUCCUUGAUACAGUACAGCCCCUGCCCUCCGCACAGUGACUGACACACACCAACAGAAUGUGGGCAGAAGUGAUGUGCUAGUUCUGAGCCAAGCUGUAAGGAAACCUUCCAUGUAUCUGCUCACCUCCUUGUGCUUCAGCUAUUCACCAUGAAAGGAACAUACCUGAGCUGUUGCGGAGCCAAAGAGGGUGAAAGACACAUAGAAGAAGCAUGUGGAAUAUGCUGGAACUCAUCAGCAACCAGAGGCCAAGCCCCAGAUGAUUCCAGCAGAGCUACAGUUCACUCUAGACUAAUAAAC